rnacentral:rRNA from 1 species
AGCGAACGCUGGCGGCAGGCCUAACACAUGCAAGUCGAACGAACCUUUCGGGGUUAGUAGCGGACGGGUGAGUAACACGUGGGAACGUGCCUUUAGGUUCGGAAUAACUCAGGGGAACUUGUGCUAAUACCGAAUGUGCCCUUCGGGGGAAAGAUUUAUCGCCUUUAGAGCGGCCCGCGUCUGAUUAGCUAGUUGGUUGAGGUAAUGGCUCACCAAGGCGACGAUCAGUAGCUGGUCUGAGAGGAUGAUCAGCCACAUUGGGACUGAGACACGGCCCAAACUCCUACGGGAGGCAGCAGUGGGGAAUCUUGCGCAAUGGGCGAAAGCCUGACGCAGCCAUGCCGCGUGAAUGAUGAAGGUCUUAGGAUUGUAAAAUUCUUUCACCGGGGACGAUAAUGACGGUACCCGGAGAAGAAGCCCCGGCUAACUUCGUG